CUAAUUUGACUCAACGCGGGGAAACUCACCAGGUCCAGACAUGACUAGGAUUGACAGAUUGAUAGCUCUUUCAUGAUUUUAUGGGUGGUGGUGCAUGGCCGUUCUUAGUUGGUGGAGUGAUUUGUCUGGUUAAUUCCGAUAACGAACGAGACCUUAACCUGCUAAAUAGCCAGGCCGGCUUCGGCUGGUCGCCGGCUUCUUAGAGGGACUGUCUGCGUCUAGCAGACGGAAGUUUGAGGCAAUAA
rnacentral:rRNA from 1 species